GUGGAGCAGCUAAUAUCGAAGCAGUCUGGACUGAAUGCCGGAGAGAUUCCUUUUCCCCAGGUCUCGUGGCUUCAUUUUGCUUUAUUUCUUCGCCUGUCUUUUUUUUCUUAGGCUCUGGGUGACGAUGCCCAGUGGGAAUAGUUACAUGAAAAGAGGUGUCUGCAGGAACAGCAACGCUCAUCCCGCACAGCUGGCCUCUUCUCGGCGUGCGGACAGGCGUGCCUAGGAGGCUCGGGGAAAGGCGAGGGCAGCGCUUCAGUAACCGACACAGGAUGCAGCUGCCUCCGGUUAGGCUCGUAUAAGGCUCAGUGAAGCCGGGGCUCUCUGAAGAGAGAUCUAGCCUAAGUUCUGCGCCAGGGAAGUGACACCCCUUGCCCAAAUUACUUUCCAGGAGGGCUUCCAGGCCCUGGCACUGUGCAUCGAAACCGGCGGCAGGGAUCAGCUAGGGAACGGAGCGGCUUCGCACAGGGCCUGGCAGCGUGGAGGCUGCGCAGCCACGCGUGGACCGGCUCGAGGGCGGAGAUUAAAUUAAAGACAACAACCAACAACCAACGAACCGAAGGGAGGAACGUUCUGCCGCCCGGCAUCCCAGCAUCAGCCCAUCCGGCUGUAGAUAACCGUCGUUUGCCCAAGUCCUUCGGUCGCCGCAGAAUCUAACGGAACUGAAAGGCUUAGCACACGGGGGAGUCCAGCGGGGCACAGCCAGCCUCCUGCUUUGGGGCUCCCUUGUUCAAUGAGCUCCUCUCCGGGAGUGAGCGGGGGGCGCGGCAGCCUGCCUUCGAUGACUCUUUCCACGCCCGAAGGGAAGCACUUGACUAUAGAAAACCUUUCAUCUGUAUCCUAUGUGAAAAGCAAGGUCGGUGUAUGAGAGAUUCAGCAAGCAGCAGCGCAAAAAUAGCGUACGCGCUGCUUCUCCUGCAGCAGCGGAGAACGCAGCUCUCCCCCGGCAGCAGCGGCUACUCCCCGCAGAUACUCCACUGACAGGGACAGACCUGCCGGGCUGGGGCCGCAGCACAUCUGGAGAGAUCCUGGCUCCUCCGCGGCCACGGUUUCGGCACCGCCUGCGUGAUUUGACAGCGUAAAUCCCACCGACUCCGGAGACAAAGUGAGUUUCUAAUACACAUGACUGCUUUUGAAAUCCCACUCUUCUGCGCUGGGCUGGGAACCGUCAUCUGGCCGGGGCCAAACAGCCAAAGAUGCAUCUGAGCAGUUUUACUACGUCGAGUAUUUCCACUGAUGCCAAGAAAACGUUAGCAGGAUCGGUCCCAACAGCAAUCAUAAUUGCUGAGGUGGGAGUGAAAGGAAGAUGGGAGAGAUCUGCCCGUACUUUGCCCGCCGCGACAGUUCAUUAAACCGCUUACCCAAAAAAAAAAUGUUUUGUUUUGUUUUGUUUUGUUUCCCCAGCGGAUAUGUGCAGAGGCAAGAGUGUGGGGGUGUGGCAGUGGCAGGGCUCUUUUCAGGAGGUGGCUUUCAAACAGAAAGGAACUAAUCCUAAAAUCGGUCAGUUGUUUGAGAAGAAAUUACACAUAUCUUGAAUAUGUAAUUACUGAAAAUGUCAAACACAUAACAUACAACAUCGGUGGAAGGACUCAUUGUUCAAGACCUGCCUUUUCUUUGACCUCAACCCUUAUUUGAAGUUUGCAUUCAGAAUUAAUCGAUGGCUCUGUGAUGCACAUAGAAAGAACAAUUCCGAGCCCCCUGCUUUACUAUCGCUUUAUGACUGCACAAUAUAUAGGGUGUGGAAUGAUGUCCCGUGAAAGGUAAGAGUGAGUGAUAUACCAUCCCUAAUAGUCAAACGUCAACCUGUUUUAGCAUGUUUAAUUAGGAUUCUUGGUACCUUUAAUACAUCAAACUACACGUUUACCAAAGCGGACCGGGAGAGUUCGUACAAGCAAAACCAGCGGUCACGUUCACAUUCGAUUGUUUCGAAUUAUCGUUGCUAUUAAGAGUAUGUUUUGGUUUGGUUUUCGUGUAAAACAGAGAAGAGCCAGAAAGGGAAUAACAAGCACCAAAAAUACAGCAGCCUUGCUGGUUUUGAACUCCCGUCACAAAGCCUCUGCUACACUCUCUGUUGCCUUUCUCAAAUCCAAAAUGGUGGGGUAUUUAAUUUUCAGUGUAUUUGAUCUCAUGGAGAGAAGCUGCGCUGUCCCCCUGUAACCCCGGUAGUCUAGCAACACGGAGCAAACCUAACGGUGCGUUACUUUAUCAGUUCUGCUUGCCGGGCUAAAUUAAAAUGAUGAUGAAAAAGCCCAUUGCUCUAGCCACUGAAGGGACUGGUAAGGAAACGGUCCAUUAAACCCAGAUCAGGAGCUAUUUAUAGAACUAAGCGACUACUCGUUAAUAUCGCCUGCGGGUGCCAAUGAAAUCUCUAAUAGACACAGGGCUAAACAGUCGCACUGUGAUCCUUUUCAGUCCAGACUUCCAGGCAACAAAACACUUACCAAAUGAGCUUCAACUUGGGCAAGUAGGGCAAGAGUUUUAUAUAUAUGUUUGCUUUGAAAAGAGGCCAGUUUCUCAGACGAGUUAAUUUCCCAUCCGCACAAAAAAAUAGAUAGUUGGGGGAAAUGGGAAAUAAUUUCUAUUCAUAAGGGCACAGACUAAGCUGAAUGAUUCUCCCCAUCAGAAAAUGAAGAUUUGACUGUUUCUCUCUGAAAGCGAAGGCGCUGCCGAGGAUCUGGAGAAGGCAGACAGCUUGUUAUCUGCAAAUGAAUCUCUUGCUAUAACGUUGUGAUCUGAUUGUGCAUUUGUUUCCCUUCCUGCAUUUCAUGUGCCUGCUCGCUGACUGGCUGCCAGCGCUAUCUUACCAGAACAGCAAGCUGACGAAUUGCUCUUUAAUAAGGCUCUCGUUAAUCUUUCCCCCCCCAGGAGAUCCGUAUUUUCUAGUCAGAUAAGGCUGAAAAAAUUCAGACAGUAAGAGGCGGCCAACCCCGCGGCUCAUUUCUCGAUGCCGACCUCUCCGGUGGGCCUUGCAUUUCCCCCGCCGGGGGCUGCCGGCUCCUGCCCACCCCCGUUUAUUGAGGGAGGGGCGGAGAAGCCAUUCCUUCCGCGGCGGACAAGGCCUCGAACAACGCAAAUCCAGGGGAGGGCACGGCGGCCGGUGGGUCGCGCACAGGGCCGCGGAGCGGAGCCACUGUGCGGCCAGCAGGGGGCGGCCGAGGCCGGCGCUGCCCCGGGGCAGCAGGGCCGCCCGCGGCGACAGAGACAGGGCGCAUCGCGCAGCGCCGUGUGAAGCGUGUCGCACGGGCGGACUUACCGCAUAUCUUCAGCCCGAUUUUCCUGGUGCACCCGUGAGCCACGCCGCACCACGAGUCGUAAGCUGGAAGAGAGAAGAGAGUCGUUUCCCUAGAGCCCAGAGCCCGGCCGCUGCGCAGCCCUCCCGGCCCCCUGCACAUCCCCGCAGCCCCCUCGCUGGGAAGAAAGGUGGCUUUCUGAGCGUGCCAGGAGCUGGUGACAGUGAGGUGACAAGCUGGCCAGCCAAAAGGAGAGGGAAAGGCACCUGGGACACAAACAUCUAAUAAUUUACUGGCGGGGCUCCAGGGAAGCGGCAUCUUAAAAUAAAGUGGCGUGAAAUGGGGUCACGAAAGAGUUCAGGAAUUAAUUGGGUGAAAAAUGGUAUUUGACUAGAUGAUCGGACUUGCAUGACUAAGUCUCCGCUGGACUAACGAGCCGCCAGGGGCCAAACCAGGGACGCUCCCGGCGCGGCCGUUGCCCUGUGUCUCACGGCUCAGCCGACCCGGCCUACUACACAGUGGCGUCGGGGCCCGCAGCCCUUCACUAGCCAGCCGUGCAUGCCCAAGGAAACACUGCCGAGAUGCUCCUGAGUGCGGGCAACGCCAAGGACGAGCCCGCUCCGACGGAGCUGACAGGUUCCCUCCCAGCCCCUGUGAGGCGCCGCCCGGUCACGCCCCGAUCGGCCCCAGCUGAGUCCGGGGGGAGCGGGGAGCGAAGCCCGGAGUUUAGAUGGUGGGGGUGUCGACCUUGGCUCAGCUGAGUCUCUUUGGCGCCUCGCCUGCAGCCCCUCAGGAACGGCAUACCCAGCAGCGGCAGCAGCGGCCGCCGCGACCCCAGGGGCGACCGAGGAGGAAGGAGGGCGCUGGCGGGGCCGAAGAGUCGUUGGGGCGUGAAGAGGAAAGACGGCAGAGGGGCUGGGGACGCUCACCUAGGCGGGGAGGGCAGCAGCCGGGCUUCCGUGGGGAAAUAAGCGGGGAAAGAGCCUCCUGCACCGCUGACCCAGCGAAGGAGCCCUCUGGGCAGGGGCGCUCCCCGCGCGGGCAGGAGGGAAGCACUGGGAGGGCAGGGCGGGGUGCUGCUGUCAGAGGUUAUUUCGGUUUUAGCCACGUUCCCGCUUAAUUCGUUUUCUACAUGUGCCACCUCUGCCGAAGGCAGCAGUGCCUGUCACCCAUGCUUGGAACAAGACCCGAUGCUGCGUUUCGCCCCCUGCCCCGUUCAUUCUGCUUGCAGAAUAAUGACAACGACUCCGAAGCUCGUGCCUCGUAGCCGUUUUAGGCUAAAAGCUAUUUCCCGCUUUGCUGUGCCUGACAACCUUUCAUUUCGCACUGCUGCCCGCUCUUUGUCUCUGAUGCCUUAUUGCAUCGGGCCUCUUUUUUGUUUAUUUUCAUCAGGCGACGGUCUGAAUUGCCUGGCAGGGCUAUCAACUGAUUCUCUACCCACCUGCAGCAGCCUCUGCUUCCCACUCACACCUCAAUAACUCAAGGCGAAUUCAGAGCAAUUAGGAACACAAGGCUUUGAAAAGCUACAAUUAGCAUCCAAAUUUCGCUUGAUUACAGGCUUCAGCGCAGGCUGAAAGGAAGCUGCAACAUUAGCAUUUAUAAAAUACAAGGGGGGCCACACCCGCUUUAAAGCCACUGGUGUAACUUCGCCCUUUAACUGUUAAAUUUCUCUAUUUUCCUUACAACGUCUCUAUUUUCGGGCCAUCUGGGGCUUCAGCUUAGUGUCUAAACAACACAAAUGUGUCUGUGAGAUAAAGGCAGCGCUGGCCUCUGAGGUGGGAUUUUCCUCUCAGUGUUUUAUUCGCCAUGGACCAACCUUUCCUGCUCUCACCAGGAAGGCGGUUUCUUUGUGUAGAGCACUUUCCGUACCUUGCUUAACGGUGCGGAAUAGGGCUUAACGGAUUUAUCGUUUCGUUCCAAAAUUGGUCUUCCCAAGCCUAGGUGGAGAAAGCUUCCCAAAGCACAUUAAACGAGGAAAAGAACAAAACCUACUUGUGGGUCGUAAAUUAGUUGGGGUGGGAUCCGGAGCGUCGUUGGAGGACGAGGGAGCAGAGGAAGCCAUCUCUUCAGAAGGGCCCCACUCCCCGGAGCCCGGCUUUCCUCUGAGGGGUGGGCAGCAAGGAAUUUGCUGAAAGGAAGAAAAGGCUGUUUUAGCAGUCCUGUCUCAUGGAGACCCGCACCGGAGUCCCGUCCGGAGACCGGCGGGCAGCAGCCUGCAGCCCGGAGUGCGCCGCGCAGGUCCCGGGGCGGCGGCAGGACGGGCAGAGGCCGGCGGGCUCGAGCGGCUGUGCAGGGGCCGCGGGACCGGGCGCAAGGGGCGCGCGGCGAAAACGGCUCGGGAGACUGAGGAGAAGACUCGUCCUUUCGCUGGGCGCCAAGGCGCUGCCCCCAGCGCCUGAGUGGCGGGUUUAGCGGAGCAUGAAGUCUAUCGCAAUUAUAUCGGCGGCCGCUGAGCAGGGCAAUUAUGUGGAUCACGUCAAAUGAAUACCAGCUCACAAAGCGGGCUUGGAAAUUAUCAGCCCAAAUGACCUACACUUCCACGCGGAGCCCGCUUCUGUUCGUUAUCAUCCGAGCCCCAGACACACGCCAGGAUAAGCGUUCAGGAAAGACUGACCGAAAGAUCCCCGCCAGCGCAAUGGUGUGCUUUGCCCAGGUCCACUGACAGGCCCCACACACGUGUA